GACGGGGGCCCGCACAAGCGGUGGUGCAUGUGGUUUUAAUUCGACGCAACGCGAGGAACCUUACCUAGGCUUGACAUGUGGUGAGUAGCGAACCGAAAGGGGAGCGACCCGUCAAAUCGGGCCAUCACACAGGUGCUGCAUGGCUGUCGUCAGCUCGUGCCGUGAGGUGUUGGGUUCAGUCCCGCAACGAGCGCAACCCUCGCCCUUUGUUGCCAUCGGGUAAAGCCGGGCACUCUAAGGGGACUGCCAGCGACAAGUUGGAGGAAGGAGAGGAUGACGUCAAGUCAUCAUGGUCCCUUUAAUGCCUAGGGCCACACACGUGCAACAAUGGCCGGUACAGAC
rnacentral:rRNA from 1 species